AAUAGUGGAAAAACUAUCUUGACGUUAUUCAAUGAAUAAGCCCCGGCUAACUAUGUGCCAGCAGCCGCGGUAAGACAUAGGGGGCGAGCGUUAUCCGGAAUUAUUGGGCGUAAAGGGUGCGUAGGCGGUUAGGAAAGUCUAUAAUUUAAUUUCAGUGCUUAACGCUGUCUUGUUAUAGAAACUACCUUGACUAGAGUUAGAUAGAGGCAAGCGGAAUUCCAUGUGUAGCGGUAAAAUGUGUAAAUAUAUGGAGGAACACCAGAAGCGUAGGCGGCUUGCUGGGUCUUGACUGACGCUGAGGCACGAAAGCGUGGGUAGCAAACAGGAUUAGAUACCCUGGUAGUCCACGCCGUAAACGAUGAGUACUAAGUGUCGGGAUAAAACUCGGUACUGAAGUUAACACAUUAAGUACUCCGCCUGAGUAGUACGUACGCAAGUAUGAAACUUAAAGGAAUUGACGGGACUCCGCACAAGCGGUGGAUCAUGUUGUUUAAUUCGAAGAUACACGAAAAAUCUUACCAGGUCUUGACAUGCUCUGCAAAG
rnacentral:rRNA from 1 species